rnacentral:rRNA from 1 species
CGUAGGGUGCUAGCGUUGUUCGGAAUCAUUGGGCGUAAAGCGCGUGUAGGUGGUUAGGUAAGUUAGGUGUGAAAUCCCUCGGCUCAACCGAGGAAGUGCAUCUAAAAACUACCUAGCUAGAGGACGGUAGAGGAAGGUGGAAUUCCUAGUGUAGAGGUGAAAUUCGUAGAUAUUAGGAGGAAUACCGGUGGCGAAGGCGGCCUUCUGGGCCGUUCCUGACACUGAGACGCGAAAGCGUGGGGAGCAAACAGGAUUAGAUACCCUGGUAGUCCACGCCGUAAACGAUGGGUACUAGGUGUUGUAGGAAUUGACCCCUACAGUGCCGACGCUAACGCAUUAAGUACCCCGCCUGGGAAGUACGGCCGCAAGGUUA